rnacentral:lncRNA from 12 species
AUGAGCCCGCGUGGACGCGACGUGCCCCGCAGCAGGCCUCACCGCAGCCCCGCCGCCUCCGGGUGCAGGUCCGACCACUCCUCCCCUCGCAUCCCAGCACCCUGGCUGCCCCGAGGGUCUCUGCCCGCCUCCCCGCCUCCCUGUGGCGGCGCCUCCCGCGGCCCCAGAAGCCCCCCGUCCCCGUCCCCGUCCCCGUCCCUCCCGCGCAGCCUCCGCGCCACAGCGAGGACCAACGCCUCGAGCACCGUUGAGAAAACGCAACGCCAGGCCCGGCCUCUCGCACAGCCAAACCGGCCUGUCCCCGCUCGGGGGCCCACACGUACCUGCGCGCCGGGCCGAGGUCUGCGGAGCCGGCUGCGAGGAGCCCGAGCGCCCGGAAGCCCCGGCCUGAAGCGUCGCGGCCACGCAACGUCCGGCACCAAUGGGCUCCCCGCGCCUGGGCUCCUUCUGCGGCCCCGCCCCGCCCCGGCCCGCCCCGGCCCCAGCGACCACCGAGAGGCCCGGCCUCCGCGGAGCCUAGAGGGACCCGCGAGGGCCUCCGCCCGCCGUGCGCACGCCGGGCGCCGCGGCACUGCACCCCGGCUCAGCCCCGAGGAGCGGAGCGCGGACGCCCGUGGCUCCUGCUCCCCGGGGCGCGAAGCCUCUCCCCGCCCCACGGCGGGGGCUCGGGCAAGAGGCGGCCUUCGCCUUCCCAGCACAGGGACAGUCGUCGCGGGCCCCCGGGCACCUGGGAAAGAGGCGAGAACCGCGGCGCGGGCAGCUGCGCCCUCAGCUGCGGGCCCAGCACCCGGGCAGGCCCCGCGGCCCCCGCCCGCCCCGAGCUCGCCCUCGGGCAAAGCCGGCUGGGAACCCGCAGGGCCUGGCCGCCGGGCCGGGAUCGCGGUCGUGGGCGCCGGAGACCUCCAGAUAAAAUACACGCGGACCUGUUCUCCUCGAUGUUCAGGCAAACCACGGGGCCAGCUUCACAUUCAUACGUGCCUGGGAGCUCCGUGUUUUGUCUGGAGACGCACCCCCGUGCACCCACGGCGCUAA